rnacentral:tRNA from 1 species
GCAGGUAUAGCUCAGUGGUAGAGCGCGUGCUUAGCCUGCAGGAAGUCGUGGGUUCAAUCCCAGCUACCUCUA